UUCAAGUAAUCCAGGAUAGGCUGUGUGCGCUCAGAUUGGCCUGUUCUCGGUUACUUGCCCC
rnacentral:pre_miRNA from 2 species